UACGUAGGGUGCAAGCGUUGUCCGGAAUUAUUGGGCGUAAAGAGCUCGUAGGCGGUCUGUCGCGUCGGCUGUGAAAACCCGGGGCUCAACCCCGGGCCUGCAUUCGAUACGGGCAGACUAGAGUUCGGUAGGGGAGUCUGGAAUUCCUGGUGUAGCGGUGAAAUGCGCAGAUAUCAGGAGGAACACCGGUGGCGAAGGCGGGACUCUGGGCCGAUACUGACGCUGAGGCGCGAAAGCGUGGGAAGCAAACAGG
rnacentral:rRNA from 1 species